CCUACGGGAGGCAGCAGUGGGGGAUAUUGGACAAUGGGGGAAACCCUGAAGCAGCGACGCCGCGUGGGCGAAGAAGUAUUUCGGUAUGUAAAGCUCUAUCAGCAGGGAAGAAGAAAUGACGGUACCUGAGUAAGAAGCACCGGCUAAAUACGUGCCAGCAGCCGGGGUAAUACGUAUGGUGCAAGCGUUAUCCGGAUUUACUGGGUGAAAAGGGAGCGCAGGCGGCACGGCAAGCCUGAUGUGAAAGCCCGGGGCUCAACCCCGGGACUGCAUUGGGAACUGCCGUGCUUGAGUGCGGGAGAGGCAGGCGGAAUUCCUAGUGUAGCGGUGAAAUGCGUAGAUAUGAGGAGGAACACCAGUGGCGAAGGCGGCCUACUGGACGGUAACUGACGCUGAGGCUCGAAAGCGUGGGGAGCAAACAGGAUUAGAUACCCCGGUAGUC
rnacentral:rRNA from 1 species